CAGAGGGGGCUAGCGUUGUUCGGAAUUACUGGGCGUAAAGGGCGCGUAGGUGGCCUGUUAAGUCGAACGUGAAAUCCCCGGGCUCAACCCGGGAACUGCGUCCGAGACUGGCAGGCUCGAAUCCGGGAGAGGGAUGUGGAAUUCCAGGUGUAGCGGUGAAAUGCGUAGAUAUCUGGAGGAACACCGGUGGCGAAGGCGGCAUCCUGGACCGGAAUUGACGCUGAGGCGCGAAAGCCAGGGGAGCAAACGGGAUUAGAUACCCCGGUAGUCCUGGCCCUAAACGAUGAAUGCUUGGUGUGGCGGGUAUCGAUCCCUGCCGUGCCGAAGCUAACGCAUUAAGCAUUCCGCCUGGGGAGUACGGUCGCAAGGCUG
rnacentral:rRNA from 1 species